rnacentral:tRNA from 2 species
AGGGCUUAGGAUAGUACUAAGACC